GGAAAUUUGAAAAAAAUAAGCCAAGAAAAGGACACAAUCAUAAUUGCAAUACUAGGAGUAAACUUUAAAGUUAUAGCUACUAUAGAAUCUUUGGAAAAUCUUAAGAUUACUAAACAUCAUGGAAAUUUUUAAGGUUCUUCUGGUUGUGCUAUGUGGGACGCCACCUCAGCAUGGCUUGAUGAGCAGUGCCAUGUCCGCAGUCAGGAUCCGAACCCGGCGAAACCCUGGGUCGCUGAAGCCAAGUGCACGAACUCAACCACUCGGCCAUGAGGCCGGCCCCUGAAGAAAGCUUACCUCGAAGGAUCAGUCCAGCAGAGUGAGACUUGCAUUGUCCUGCACACCCCUGUUCCUACCUGCACAGCUCUGGACCACCCCAGAACUCCUGAUGCCCACUCUUCCUUCAAACCUUUCCCAUGAAAGGCCCUCUCUGCUUUGUCCUGUUCUCCUAUCUCUUCCAGAAAAUGUAGCUGGGACUCCCAUUUCCACUGCCAUGCUCUGGCUGGGGAAGCCAGAUUUUUCAGCAGGGAAAUAAUCUUGCAUAUUAAGAUCAACCU
rnacentral:lncRNA from 1 species